CUCCAAGGAAAAAAGCUCCACUUCCAUUUAUCUGGGCUAGUUGAUUUGAAGAAGAAAUGGGGCAUCAUCACCACCAUCAGCACCACCACAGCGGAGGGCCAUAUGAUGAUCCAUUGUUGGCUUGUUGUUGUUGCCCUUGCAUUCUUGUUUCGUCGGUGUUCAGAAUGAUCGGACAGUGCGUGUUUGUCGCCGGCUAUCCUUUGUUGCAGUGCUUCGGUUUUGAUGACCACAGACACAACCACCACCACCACCACCACCAUUGUUACUGAUAUUUUUUUCUCUUUAGUUGAUUAUGUUUUCUACUGUAUUGCUUUAUUUGCUUAGGUGUUCGUUCUCUUCUUUUCUACUAUAUUUCUUUGCAUAUUUAAUGUAUUGUACCUACCAAUAUACAUAAUGUAGAAUUUAGCUUUUUGUUAAA